UACGGGGGGAGCAAGCGUUGUUCGGAUUUACUGGGCGUAAAGGGCGCGUAGGCGGUCAGCACAAGUCAGUUGUGAAAUCUCCGGGCUUAACUCGGAACGGUCAGAUGAUACUGCUUUGCUAGAGUGCGGAAGGGGCAAUCGGAAUUCUCGGUGUAGCGGUGAAAUGCGUAGAUAUCGAGAGGAACACCUGAGGUGAAGACGGGUUGCUGGGCCGACACUGACGCUGAAGCGCGAAAGCCAGGGGAGCGAACGGG
rnacentral:rRNA from 1 species